AUUGAACGCUGGCGGCAGGCCUAACACAUGCAAGUCGAACGAGUGGCGGACGGGUGAGUAAUGUCUGGGAAACUGCCCGAUGGAGGGGGAUAACUACUGGAAACGGUAGCUAAUACCGCAUACCAUCGGAUGUGCCCAGAUUGGCUUAGCUUGUCGGUGAGGGAACGGCUCACCUAGGCGACGAUCCCUAGCUGGUCUGUGAGGAUGACCAGCCACACUGGAACUGAGACACGGUCCAGAAGCCUACGGGAGGCAGAAGUGGUGAAUAUUGCACAAUGGGCGCAAGCCUGAUGAAGCCAUGCCGCGUGUAUGAGGAAGGCCUUCGGUUUGUAAAGUACUUUCAGCUGGGAGGCGUUACCCGCAGAAGAAGCACCGGCUAACGCCGUGCCAGCAGCCGCGGUAAUUC
rnacentral:rRNA from 1 species